GACAGAGGGUGCAAACGUUGUUCGGAAUUACUGGGCGUAAAGCGCGUGUAGGCUGCCCUGCAAGUCAGGUGUGAAAGCCCCGGGCUCAACCUGGGAACUGCAUCCGAAACUGCCUUGCUAGAGUAUGGGAGAGGGAAGUGGAAUUUCCGGUGUAGCGGUGAAAUGCGUAGAUAUCGGAAGGAACAUCAGUGGCGAAGGCGACUUCCUGGACCAAUACUGACGCUCAGGUGCGAAAGCGUGGGGAGCAAACAGG
rnacentral:rRNA from 1 species